ACAUUAAAAAGAUAAUAAUUUUAUUUAAUUUGAUAAUUAAUAAUUUAUUAUUUAAAUAUUAAUAUAUAAUAUAAGAAAAUUUUAGUUUAAUUAAUAUUAUAAAAAAAUUAAUUUUAUAAUAGUUAAAUUGUAUUGUGAAAGAAUUUUUUUAGUUUUUUUAAAGAAAAAUUUAAUUUUUGUACCUUGUGUAUCAGGGUUUAUUAAAAUAGAUUAAUAAACUAAUUUUCUUGAAUUUAAAAGAGCUAAUUAUUUAUAUUUUAAGUUAUAAAAUAAACUUUAUUAAUAAGUUUUUAGUAAUGAAAUGUUAUUCGUUUUUAAAUAUAUCUAGUUUUUUAAGAAAAAAAUUAAAUUUUUAUAUUAAUAAUAUUAUAAAUUUUAUUUUUAAUUUUCUAUUAUUAAUUUAUAACAUUUUUAGGGAUAAGUUUAAAAAUGGAUUUUUAUUAAUUUUUAAUAUAAUAUAGAUAAAUAGGAUUAUAAAUUUUCAUUUUUAUUAGUUUGUUAUAAUUAUUAUAAAUAAAAUUAUAUUUUAUAUAUUAAUUAUAAAUUGUUUAUUAAAAUAUUAAUUUAAAUUUUAACUAUUAAGUAAAAAUGAUAAAAUAAGUAUAAAUUUAUAAAAUAUGAUUUUUAUUAAUAAUUAAUUUUUAAAAAAGGAACUCGGCAAAUAAUUUUUCACCUGUUUAUUAAAAACAUGGCCUAUUGAAAGAAGAUUUUAGGUCUAACCUGCCCCCUGAAGUAUUUAAAUGGCCGCAGUAUUUUGACUGUGCUAAGGUAGCAUAAUAAUUAGUUUUUUAAUUGAAAGCUAGAAUGAAUGGUAUUAUGAAAAAAUUACUGUCUCUUUUAAAAAAUUAAAAUUUUAUUUUUAAGUUAAAAAGCUUAAAUAUUAUUAAAAGACGAGAAGACCCUAUAGAAUUUUAUUUAAAUUAAUUUUUAAUAAGUUAGUAUAUAAAAUUUAAAGAUAAGUUUAUAUUUAGUUGGGGUGAUUAGAAAAAUUAAGUAUCUUUUUUUCAUGUAAACAUUAAUUUAUGAUUUUAUGAUUCACAUUAGUGAUUUAAGAAUAAAUUACCUUAGGGAUAACAGCGUAAUUUUUUUUUAGAGUUCUAAUCAAAAAGAAAGAUUGCGACCUCGAUGUUGGAUUAAAAUUUAUUUUUGGUGUAGUAGCUAAAGUAUUAAGUCUGUUCGACUUUUAAAAUUUUACAUGAUCUGAGUUUAAACCGGUGUGAGCCAGGUUGGUUUCUAUCUUUAAUUUUAGUAUAUAUUUUAGUACGAAAGGACCAAAUAUAGAAUUAAGAAUUUUCAAUUAGAAUAAUAUUAUUAUUUUGGCAGAUUAGUGCAAUAGAUUUAGGGUCUUUGAAUGUAAAUAAUUUUAC
rnacentral:rRNA from 1 species